rnacentral:misc_RNA from 1 species
GUGAAUCAUCAAAUUUUUGAACGCAAAUUGCGCUUCCUAGCAUCCCGGGAAGUAUGCCUGUUUGAGGGUCAGUAUUAACAAAAAAAUCGGUUUGGUUGCAAAUUGUGACGUUUCCGGAGUUUGGGCUAUCUUAACUUUUUUGGUUAAGGGGCUUAAAAUUGACCUUUUUGCCGAUUUUUAGGCGUAACUUAAUUUUUUUUUUAUUUGUUUUUUCUUUAUUCCAAAAACUUAUUUAGUUGGAUUA